GACGAAAGUCUGACGGAGCAACGCCGCGUGAGUGAUGAAGGUUUUCGGAUCGUAAAGCUCUGUUGUUAGGGAAGAACAAGUGCAAGAGUAACUGCUUGCACCUUGACGGUACCUAACCAGAAAGCCACGGCUAACUACGUGCCAGCAGCCGCGGUAAUACGUAGGUGGCAAGCGUUGUCCGGAAUUAUUGGGCGUAAAGGGCUCGCAGGCGGUUUCUUAAGUCUGAUGUGAAAGCCCCCGGCUCAACCGGGGAGGGUCAUUGGAAACUGGGAAACUUGAGUGCAGAAGAGGAGAGUGGAAUUCCACGUGUAGCGGUGAAAUGCGUAGAGAUGUGGAGGAACACCAGUGGCGAAGGCGACUCUCUGGUCUGUAACUGACGCUGAGGAGCGAAAGCGUGGGGAGCGAACAGGAUUAGAUACCCUGGUAGUCCACGCCGUAAACGAUGAGUGCUAAGUGUUAGGGGGUUUCCGCCCCUUAGUGCUGCAGCUAACGCAUUAAGCACUCCGCCUGGGGAGUACGGUCGCAAGACUGAAACUCAAAGGAAUUGACGGGGGCCCGCACAAGCGGUGGAGCAUGUGGUUUAAUUCG
rnacentral:rRNA from 1 species